UACGAGGGGGGCAAAUGUUGUUCGGAAUCACUGGGCGUAAAGGGAGCGUAGGCGGGUUCUUAAGUAAGGUGUUUAAUCCCGGGGCCCAACCCCGGACCGGCACUUUAAACUGGGAAUCUUGAAUAGUGGAGAGGUCAGUGGAAUUGGGGGUGUAGCGGUGGAAUGCGUAGAGAUCCCCAAGAACACCAGUUGCGAAGGCGGCUGACUGGACACAUAUUGACGCUGAGGCUCGAAAGCAUGGGGAGCGAACAGG
rnacentral:rRNA from 1 species